rnacentral:ncRNA from 1 species
GGUUUGGUCCUGACCUUAAAGUCAAUUAUUUCUUUAUAUAUACAUGCAAGUCUCAGCCCCCCUGUGAAAACGCCCUUAAAUCCCCUCUAGGGAUAAGGAGCUGGUAUCAGGCACGAAAUUCUGCCCAAAACACCUAGCUAUGCCACACCCACAAGGGAAUUCAGCAGUAAUUAACAUUGAAUAUAAGCGCCAGCUUGAUUCAGUUAAAGAAAAUAGGGCCGGCUAAUCUGGUGCCAGCCGCCGCGGUUACACCACGUGACUCAAAUUGAUUUUAUUCGGCGUAAAGCGUGAUUUAAGCACUAAAAAAAUUUAAGUUAAACUUAAACUAAGCUGUGACACGCUUGUUUUUAAGAAAUCCUAAUACGAAAGUUACUUUAACUAUAACCACUUGAACUCACGACAAUUAGAACACAAACUGGGAUUAGAUACCCCACUAUGUCUAAUCGUAAACUUUAAUUUACACCUUCAUCGCCCGGGAACUACGAGCAAAGCUUAAAACCCAAAGGACUUGACGGUACCCCAAAUCCACCUAGAGGAGCCUGUCCUAUAAUCGAUAACCCCCGUUUAACCUCACCACCUCUAGUUACUCAGCCUGUAUACCUCCGUCGUCAGCUUACCACGUGAGCGAGCUAUAGUGAGCUUAAUGUCAUUACAUCAAUACGUCAGGUCAAGGUGCAGCAUAUGAGGUGGGAAGAGAUGGGCUACACUUUCUAUACUAGAAUACACGAAAAAUUAUAUAUGAAAAUAAAUUUGAAGGCGGAUUUAGAAGUAAAGAGAGAUAAGAAUGCUCUCUUAAACAAGGCACUGGGGUGUGUACACACCGCCCGUCACCCUCUUCAAAGCUAACUUAUAGUAUAUAACCACAUCUGCUACUCAGAGGAGGCAAGUCGUAACAUGGUAAGUAUACCGGAAGGUGUGCUUGGAA